ACUUGACACAAAACUAGCCAGUACGGGCCUAGACAGGUGGCUUAGUCCUGUACUGUCCUAAGCAGGGGAGGUGACAACUGCAGAGUGUCAGCAGGGUCAAAAGAAGAGAAUGACUGCAGAGGAGUCACUGCCACUGGUCAAUGUGACCAGCAUCUAACAGGUCACAUCCACUCCGAUGAGGGCUCCCUGGAACUUCUGGAUUUCUUCCUUCAAUCCUGACCAGUUGACACAUCUUCUGGGAUGUGAUAGGUGGCCUUUGAUGCACUAAAUCAUGUUUCUACUCCUGCA